rnacentral:rRNA from 1 species
UGCGUAGGUGGUUUGAUAAGUCAGAGGUGAAAGCCCACCGCUUAACGGUGGAACUGCCUUUGAUACUGUCAGACUUGAAUAAGGUUGAGGUCGGCGGAAUGUGUCAUGUAGCGGUGAAAUGCAUAGAUAUGCCAUAGAACACCAAUUGCGAAGGCAGCUGACUAGACCUGUAUUGACGCUGAGGCACGAAAGCGUGGGGAGCGAACAGGAUUAGAUACCCUGGUAGUCC